AGAGUUUGAUCCCGGCUCAGGAUGAACGCUGGCGGUCUGCUUAACACAUGCAAGUCGAACGGGCUCUUCGGAGCUAGUGGCGGACGGGUGAGUAACACGUGAGAAACUGGCUCCCGGUCGGGGACAACAGAGGGAAACUUCUGCUAAACCCGGAUGAGCCGAAAGGUAAAAGAUUUAUCGCCGGGAGAUGAGCUCGCGUCUGAUUAGCUAGUUGGUGAGGUAAAGGCUCACCAAGGCGACGAUCAGUAGCUGGUCUGAGAGGAUGAUCAGCCACACUGGGACUGAGACACGGCCCAGACUCCCACAGGAGGCAGCAGUGGGGAAAUUUCCGCAAAGGGCGCAAGCCCGACGGAGCAAGACCGCGUGGGGGAGGAAGGCUCUUGGGUUGUAAACCCCCUUUCUCAAGGAAGAACACAAAGACGGUACUUGAGGAAAAAGCCCCGGCUAACUCCGUGCCAGCAGCCGCGGUAAAACGGAGGAGGCAAGCGUUAUCCGGAAAGAUUGGGCGUAAAGCGUCCGUAGGUGGCUGUUCAAGUCUGCUGUCAAAGACAGUGGCUUAACUACUGAAAGGCAGUGGAAACUGAACAGCUAGAGUACGGUAGGGGCAGAGGGAAAUCCCGGUGUAGCGGUGAAAAGCGUAGAUAUCGGGAAGAACACCGGUGGCGAAAGCGCUCUGCUGGGCCGUAACUGACACUGAGGGACGAAAGCUAGGGGAGCGAAAGGGAUUAGAUACCCCAGUAGUCCCAGCCGUAAACGAUGGAAACUAGGUGUAGCCCGUAUCGACCCGGGCUGUGCCGAAGCUAACGCGUUAAGUUUCCCGCCCGGGGAGUACGCACGCAAGUGUGAAACUCAAAGGAAAUGACGGGGGCCCGCACAAGCGGUGGAGUAUGUGGUUUAAAUCGAUGCAACGCGAAGAACCCUACCAGGGCUUGACAUGUCCGGAAACUUGGUGAAAGCCGAGAGUGCCCUCGGGAGCCGGAACACAGGUGGUGCAUGGCUGUCGUCAGCUCGUGUCGUGAGAUGUGGGUUAAGUCCCGCAACGAGCGCAACCCCCGUCCCUAGUUGCCAUCAUUCAGUUGGGCACUUUAGGGAGACUGCCGGUGACAAACCGGAGGAAGGUGGGGAUGACGUCAAGUCAUCAUGCCCCCUACGUCCCGGGCUACACACGUACUACAAAGGGGGGGACAAAGGGUAGCCAAGACGCGAGUCUGAGCCAAACCCGUAAACCCCUCCCCAGUUCAGAUUGCAGGCUGCAACUCGCCCGCAUGAAGGAGGAAACGCUAGUAAACGCAGGUCAGCAUACUGCGGUGAAACCGUUCCCGGGCCCUGUACACACCGCCCGUCACACCAUGGAAGUUAGCCACGCCCGAAGUCGUUACUCUAACCGUUCGCGGAGGAGGAUGCCGAAGGCAGGGCUGAUGACUGGGGUGAAGUCGUAACAAGGUAGCCGUA
rnacentral:rRNA from 1 species